UCCCCCAGUAACGGCGAGUGAAGAGGGAACAGCCCAAAUUUGUAAUCUGGCCCCUUUGGGGUCCGAGUUGUAAUCUCGAGAACUGUUUUCCGCGCCGGACCAUGUACAAGUCUGUUGGAAUAUAGCUUCAUAGAGGGUGAGAAUCCCGUACAUGACAUGGACUACCGGUGCUUUGCGAUACAGUCUCUAAGAGUCGAGUUGUUUGGGAAUGCAGCUCAAAUUGGGUGGUAAAUUCCAUCUAAGGCUAAAUAUUGGCGAGAGACCGAUAGCGAACAAGUACCGUGAGGGAAAGAUGAAAAGCACUUUGGAAAGAGAGUUAACAGUACGUGAAAUUGUUGAAAGGGAAACGCUUGAAGUCAGCCUUGUUCUUGGUUGUUCAGCCCUCCGUGGCGUAUUCAACUUUGAGCAGGCCAGCAUCAGUUUUGGGUGCUGGAUAAGGGCUUAGGAAAUGUGGCAGCCUUGGCUGUGUUAUAGUCCUUUGCUUGAUACAGCGCUCCGGGACUGAGGAAUGCAGCGAGCCUUUUGGCGGGUCCAUUUAUGGACCUUCUCGCUUUGGAUGCUGGCGUAAUGGCUUUAAACGACCCGUCUUGAAACACGGACCAAGGAGUGUAACAUGCUUGCGAGUAUUUGGGUGGCAAACCCGGAUGCGUAAUGAAAGUGAAUGAAGGUGGGAACCGCAAGGUGCACCAUCGACCGGUCCGGAUUUUUAAUGAUGGAUCCGAGUAAGAGCAAGCACGUUGGGACCCGAAAGAUGGUGAACUAUGCCUGAAUAGGGUGAAGCCAGAGGAAACUCUGGUGGAGG
rnacentral:rRNA from 1 species